CUAAAUUGUAAAUACAUUGAAAAUCUUUCGGUGUCUCAUAUACUAUCACUGCCCUCAGGAUCUCUAAAACCAGUGUUUCCUCUUCCUGAAAUAUACCUCACUUCCCACAACCCAGGUCAUCCUAUUUCUCUUUUAGUUCUCAGCAAGGGAUCAUUGCCUUUAUAGACGCCUCUCUAAUCCCCAUAAAUGUAUUUGGUCCUCCCUACUUGGAUUUCCCCUGGUGUAGCAAAUAUCACAAUUUAUUGCAAAUACUUUUUUAAAAAAAUAAAUCCUACCAGAGGAUCAUCAAUACAUGAUCAGGUACUAAAUUAUUAUUGUAUCCUCAGCAACUAAUACUAUGCCUGAGAGAGUGGAAACCUGAAAAACUUUUGCUGGAUGAAUGAAAAGACUUAUGAAAGUUGUCUUUGCAGUGAGGUGAAGUGUUCCAGGGCACUGGUGGUGGUGAGAAUCUCUAAAUCUCUGAGAUCUCUAUGUGGGAGCUUUAUUGGAGAGUGUUCUUAGGACCUACACGUGUGAGAAAACAGGAUUUGGCAGAAAGAAAAGUUGAACUGCAUUUACAGCAGUAGCUUCAGCUGAAUCCAUGGACUGCUGAAUGUGGGAUGGACCUGGCAGUUGUUCAAACAAAAGCAAGAGAACUGGAGCUUUGUAUCUCCAUAUCUACAAUACAGUGGAUUGAGUAAAGCCUUGAACCAGGAAGCUCAUUUCUGCAAAGUGCAAUUCAUAGAGCAGGCUCAGGUAGGAGCUCCCAGCCUCCAGCAUACCAAGAAGCUGGGAGAUGGGAACCUUGAACCGGAAUAGGGACCUGGGCCAUGCAAAGAUGCGACUACAUGUCCAUGUGAAGGUUCAGCAUUCUUCAGUGACAUCGGGAUUAUGUCAUAGGAAAAAGGUAAUUUUUUUGAACUUGUUUUACCAGUUUCCACAUCUUUCUGUUAAGAAAUCUUUUUCACAGUUUAGAGCACAAUUUUCUCCAUAAAUUAUUUAAAAACUUUUUUUAUCAUUUAAGCUGAAUUUCUCACAGAUGGUGAUAAAAUAACCCUUUAAAAAUCUCUCUUCUAAAAGGGAAUACAAGAACACUGUACCAGUGGAAUGGUUUCUAUUUUAUUCAGCUUUCAUCUCCUUCUGCUACUCAACUCUCAAUCUGGCCUUUGCAUGGAGAACAGAGGAUGGAAAAUAUAGUACCAGGAAAAUAAAGGGUAUUGAUCAAAUUUUAUAUCUGAUCAAGUCAUAAAUUAUAGAUCAAACAUUUAAGUUUUUACAAAAAUGAGAAGCAGAUUUCAGUAAGACUUGAACAAUAUAUUUGUUUAACAUUACUUACAGUGAUUAAAAUCUAGCAGUGUAUCAUAAGGGUUGAGAAUAAGUAUCUGACAGACUUGUUUAACUCCUGGCUUUGUUACUAAUUUUGUGACUUUGGGCAAAUACCUCUCUUAGAAUUUUCAACUGUAAAGGGGAAAAUAAUAGUACCUAUUUUAUCAGGUUGUUUCAGAAUUAAAUGUGGUGAUAUAUACAGAAACAAACUGUAAACUACUGAAAGCUACUGUAUUUAAAAAAAAGGACCUAGAAAAGAAUCCUGUUCUCUAGACCAGUUAUAAUUACC
rnacentral:lncRNA from 1 species